AGCUACUGCAGUGGGAUCGGCUGGAGAGGAGCCCGUGCUGGCCAGACCUGUCAGUGAACAUUACCAAUUUAUACAGAGUCAUGGUCUCCGCUGCAAAUCCUCAAAGAGAACAAAAUAAAUGGCAUAAGCAGAACGUGGGGUCAGUGUCUCCUGUUUCUAUGUGAUACUGCCAUGAAUUGCAGUGGGUCACACCAAUUUGAGGGGGUAGGAUUGAAAAAACAAG